rnacentral:lncRNA from 1 species
AUCUGCACUCCGCAGACAGUAUAGACACACCUUUUUUGAGUCAAGUCUGAGCAGGGAAAGAGCAAAAAGCUCUCCUAAGGGCAACUGCAGUCUUGGACUUUUCCUGAGGAGAACUCAACACGAGGCAGCUGAGAUGGGCGUGGGUCACCUUCAGACCGAAUGGCUCUGGACUUCUCUGAUCGUUUCAGGUGUUCUGGCCGGGGACUGGAUGGUACAGGUUCCAGAAAGUCCAAUCUGUGCUCCCGCUGGUUCCUCUGUGACGGUGCCAUGCACUUACGACUUCCCUGAGGACUCAUCACAGGGGACGCCUCGCAAAGUGCUUUCUGAGAUGUGGUGUCGGAAUGAGAGCUUCUGCAUCACCCAAACAUACGUCUACCACAGCCGUGGGAUCUUCAUAGACCCUGCGUACCGGGGCAGGGUGCAAUACCUGGGCACAACCGGGUCCAAAAACUGCUCUUUCAGGAUAACAGACCUGAGGACCACUGAUAGUGGGGUCUACGUGUUUCGGUUUAUUACGGACCACCCCGUGGAAAAGCUGCCAGGCCAGAAGGGUAUCACCCUACAAGUGACAGAUGGUAGCCGUGUCUCUGUGGUUGGCAUUGUGAUUGGAGUUAUCUUCAUUCUGGGAGCAAUAGCUGUUUUUGCUGUUUGGGUCAGAAGACGUAGGCGAUCAAGAUCACUUCGGAGAGAUGGCACAAUAUGAGUGGAGGACCCUCUGAGUGCUGCCCAGUGUACAGCAGAUCAUCACCUGAAUAUAUUAAUGACUGAAACUCCUGUAAAGAAACUGCCUUUUUCACAUUUUAACUUUCUAUCUUAUGCCUUUUUUAUUAACAUUUCACGGUUAAGACCGCAAGCAAUUAUGUUUUUAAUGUUGGAUUUUAUUGGAAUGCUGGUUUAUUUAUUUACUCUGUUUACUGCUAUUUAUGGCGCAUACACUAUAUUGGCAAAAAUAUUUGCACAGCCUUAAUAAUUGAAGGUGUUUCAAUCUCUUUAAUGGACACAGGUGAAUAAAACCAAGCAUCUAUAGUCA